rnacentral:lncRNA from 1 species
UGUUAGGAUUUAAACCUUUGCCUAGUGCUUUAAACUUAGAUUGAAAUCAAUAUCAAAAGCUCUUCCUCUUUAUUCACUAUCAAUGAGUAACCUUACAAGAACAAAAUAGAAAUCACAAGCUUCUCUUUAGAACCAAAACCUUAACUAUUGAUUCUCUUGAUCUCUCUCUAUUUGCCUCGCUCUUGUAUCUUUGUUUCGGAUGAUUCUAAAGCCAUGACCACCUCUUCUAUUUAUAACAUCAUCAGCCUCUUAACUUUCCUAUUCCUUGUUGUCUUGGUUCGUCUUUGACCGACAUAACAAAACAAGAAACUAACUUCACGUUUCCUUUUUGUUUAUGCAGGAUUCUUGCUGGGCUGGAGUGGGCCAAGACAGAAUUGGGCUUUUCUCUCUACAAUCUCCACCUAAAGCCCAUAUUCUUGCCUUCUCUCUCUUGUCACCUCCUUCGAUGAUACCGUAGACGCUUUCAAGCUUCCAUCUCCUUCCACCUUUGAUCUGAAACGCUAUCUGUGACAACUUCGCUGUUGAGUCACUGUCGCCAUGCUCCUUAUCCUUAUCUUUGCAGUGAGCCAUGAACACGAAACCAGAAACGACAAUCUUCACUCAUCUCCCCCUCUUUUUUUUUUUUUUUCACCUAGAAUUUCUUGGGACUGUGAUGAUGUCUCACCGACGAAUCAUUCCACCUCCGGCGAGUACCGUUUCUUCACCCUGCGUCACAUUUACCCUUGUCUUUAAUCCCUCCGUGGUAUUUCUCUGCAACUCCGACAUGCUCCACGCCAGUGACAUCCUUGUAGUGAUCAAAACCACUGAUGUCAUUUAAUCGCUUAUCAUAUUCCUCUGUAGGAUAGCGAUUCAACUUCUCAAAUCUCAAGCUCACUCCUUUACUAGAUUAGACCAUUCUUAUCGCAACACUAGACAUCUCCAAAGAAGCUCGCGAUUUCUUCUUGGUGACUAGCAAAUCUAAUUUUUCAUGUUGGUGUUGAUCAAUUCAAUCAAUAUUACCGGUCAUACUGCAGCUUUCCGGUAAGAUUCUCUGAAUUUUGAGUCUUCUUGAUAGAGUUUGAUUAUUCUCAUUUGAAGUUGCAAAGCCUUACCCUCUAUUGAAUUUUGACAGUCCUUCCUGCGUUUCCGUUGAUCCUUUUGAGACUCCCCUUUUACUCCGACGAACCCACGAACCCCUUUCCACUUCAACUUCCUGGUAAGGUAAUUCAUGUAGCUUUAACCUGAUUAAGAUGAUGCCUGUGAUGUUUUACUUGUCUGGUGAUCUGCUUUGAUUUCCCGGUUGUGAUACUCGUCUCCCUUCAGCUCUCCUUGGUGUUUAUCCUCCACCACAGCAGCUGUUUAAGACGUUCUCUCCUCUCCGGUGAUCUAUUUCUUCUUUUCCCCGACCUAGAUACUCGUCUCCCUUCAGCUUAUCUUGCUGUUUAAGACGUUUUCUCAGGUCAUCCCUUCAACUUUAAAUUUUCUUUUAAAGUAUACUCCUCAUCCGACCUUUCAAACCUUUUGAGCGACUUUUCUUGUGUUUCAGCUACUCCACCUUGAGCUAAAACCUCUGCCUCGCAUCUAUGCUCACAGGUAACUCUUUAAACUCCCCCUUGAGUUUUCCAUUAUCAAUAUAAACCUGAAACUUACUUGCUUCUCCUCCUCUGUCUCUGCGAGCUUGAGACAGCGUUGAUAAUGGAGUUACCUGGAGCGUCCUCCUUCUUAGGCAGAAUCGCAGCGAACCUGAAGCUCCUCUCCAGGUACUGCGUUGAUUAAUACUCCUGCUCGAUUUUCAUUUGAAUGGUUCUUAGAUAGUGUUAUAUUCUCCUUGACUCUAUCUCCGAAGAUACCCUCUCCCAAUAUAUGUGACACUUUUCUCACAACGCCAUUCCCGAGUCUUGUAUUCACGUAUUCCCUUUUUCCAGCCUUCUUCCAGUCUUCCUCGUAGUCUUUAGAUGCUUUUUUUUGUACUAAGCUCUUGAGGUGCAGUCAAAACAUGUGCUAAGAGAUCACCAUCUUUAUGCCUUACUUCUUUUCCAAACAAUACAUCAUCCGUUGAAGAUUCUGUUUUCUGAGAUUCUUCACUGCUCGCCUUUGACUCAAUUUCUUCUGAUUUUUCUGUCAAGAAAGAGUCUCCACCUUGAGCUGAUGAGUCUUUUGUUUCAAAACCAUAUGAAGUAGGUCCCUGAAUCAGAACUUUUGCGAACGUCACCGUUUUUGACGUCUUCUUCUUGAUUAUUUUCUCCACUCUAGGCAUAUUCUUCUUACUCUUAGCAAUUGUGCCAUGUAGAUAAUAAACUCCCUUGUGAUAUUUUCCUGAUAUCACCCUCUUAUUAUCUUUGUAGAAGUGCACCAUAAAAUUGCUUCCUUUGUACUUGCAACCUGAUUUUUCUAACAUCCCAUAAGAAAUUAAAUUUCUUCUCACCUCCGGAAUGUACCUGACACCUGUGAGUAUCACUUCAGAGCCAUCUGAAUUCUGAAUCUUUAUUUUCCCAAUUCCUUUGAUGUCACACUGAGUGUUAUUAGCCAUUAACACUGAACCACCAUUGAACUCCUUGAGAUCAAACAUAACAUCCCUGUCUGAUGUACUAUGAUAAGAACAUCCAGAAUCCAUGAUCCAUUCUUGCUUAGUGUCUUGCACACUAGCUGUUAACACUAACGGUUGCUUCGGCUCCGUCGCAAUGUUUGCAGAUUCUUUAUGUCUCCUCUCAGGACAUUCUCUUUUCCAGUGUCCUUCUUCUCCACAGAUAAAACAACUUGUUUUGCUUUUAUCAAACCUUUGCCUUGACUUAGAUCUGCCUCUGCCGUUAGAUUUUCCUUUGUAACCCUUUUUAUCUGAUCUCCCCCUUGAAUCCUCCACGUACAAACCCUCUGCAUCAGACCUGGAUUUAUUCAGCAAACCCUUUUCCUUUAACUCCACUUCUUUGGAGUAUGCUGAAUUAGUCACGUCGUUCAUGGUAAGAGUUUCUUUUGCAGUCCCGUACUUGAGCGUGUCAACUAGUGAAUCAAAUUGCUGGGGCAAGCUAGAUAGAACUUGAAUUGCCUGGUCUUCAUCGCUGAUGUUGAUGUUAAGACUUGCAAGAUCUGAAACUAGCUUAAGAAAAAUAUCUAGGUUUUCCUCGAUGCUCUUGUGAUCAUCCAUCUUGAAGCUCGCAAACCUCUGCUUCAUGUAGAUCCUAUUAGGAAGUGUCUUUGUUUGGUAAUCUCUUUCCAAAGCCUUCCAAACUCCUAACGCAGUUGUUUCCUUCAUCACCUUACGCAGAACCAAAUUUCCUAGGCUCAUGCAUAUUAGAUUCUUUGCCUUCUUAUCCUUCAACGGAUCUACUUUGACCUCAGGUAGUUCUUCGUCUUUCUCCUUGCCUGUUUCAGAAGGCGUGACCGUAACUUCCUGAAUCGUAGAAUCUAACCCUAGAAGCUCCAACUGCAUUAGCAUCUUGUACUUCCAUAACCCGAAAUCACCUUUUCCAUCAAACCUCUCGACCUUGAACUUUCCGAACUCUCCGGAUAUCGAUUCCAUAUCUCCUCCUAGCACUUGCAAUCAAACCUGGAUUGCUCUGAUACCACUUGUUAGGAUUUAAACCUUUGCCUAGUGCUUUAAACUUAGAUUGAAAUCAAUAUCAAAAGCUCUUCCUCUUUAUUCACUAUCAAUGAGUAACCUUACAAGAACAAAAUAGAAAUCACAAGCUUCUCUUUAGAACCAAAACCUUAACUAUUGAUUCUCUUGAUCUCUCUCUAUUUGCCUCGCUCUUGUAUCUUUGUUUCGGAU